rnacentral:rRNA from 1 species
AGGCGACGGCUCAACCGUCGACGCGCUUCGGAAACUGGGGGACUUGAGGGCAGGAGAGGCGAGCGGAAUUCCCGGUGUAGCGGUGAAAUGCGUAGAGAUCGGGAAGAACACCAGUGGCGAAGGCGGCUCGCUGGACUGGCCCUGACGCUGACGCGCGAAAGCGUGGGGAGCGAACGGGAUUAGAUACCCCGGUAGUCCACGCCGUAAACGAUGGGCACUAGGUGUGGGAGGUAUCGACCCCUCCCGUGCCGGAGUUAACACACUAAGUGUCCCGCCUGGGGAGUACGGCCGCAAGGUUGAAACUCAAAGGAAUUGACGGGGGCCCGCACAAGCAGUGGAGCAUGUGGUUUAAUUCGACGCAACGCGAAGAACCUUACCCGGGCUUGACAUCCCCGGAACACCCGAGAGAUCGGGUGGCUCUACGGAGCCGGGAGACAGGUGCUGCAUGGUUGUCGUCAGCUCGUGUCGUGAGAUGUUGGGUUAAGUCCCGCAACGAGCGCAACCCUUGUCCCGUGUUACCAGCGUAAAGGCGGGGACUCACGGGAGACUGCCGGUGACAAACCGGAGGAAGGUGGGGAUGACGUCAAAUCAUCAUGGCCCUUAUGUCCGGGGCUACACACGUGCUACAAUGGCCGGCACAGCGGGAUGCGAAGGGGCGACCCGGAGCGAAUCCCUGAAAGCCGGUCCCAGUUCGGAUCGCAGGCUGAAACCCGCCUGCGUGAA